AUGUCCAAAACAAGACCUCCUCUAGGACAAUCAGAUCACAAUCUUGUUUUUCUCUGCUCAGAAAAUAAACCACUUGUUCAGAGGCAACCUGUGACAAGAAGAACUGUGAGAAAAUGGUCACAGGAUGCUGAAGAAGCACUGCAGGGUUGUUUUGAGACCACAGAUUGGAUGAUUCUCUGCCAAGGAUAUGAAGAGGACAUCAGUGCCAUGACUGGAUGUGUCACUGACUAUAUACACUUCUGUGUGGACAAUAUCAUACCCACCAGAACAGUGAGAUGCUUCGCUAAUAACAAACCCUGGAUCACCAGUGAACUGAAGAAUCUGCUAAAUGAGGAAAAACAAGCCUUCAAGGAGGGAGACAGGGAAUUAUUGAGGAGUAUAAAGAAGCAAGUAAAGAUCAAGCUCAGAGACAGCAAGGAGGCAUACAGGAAGAAGCUGGAGAACAAACUACAGAGGAACAAUAUCAGAGAUGUCUGGUCAGGGAUGAAGAAGAUCACAGGCUUCAAGCACAGGAAGGAUUGCACACAUGACAGCCUGGACACAGCCAAUGAACUGAACAAGUUCUUCAAUAGGUUCAGUUCAGGAACAAACCCAGCAUCCUCCUCGCCUGUCCCCAGCCAAUCAGACAUCCCAUCCUCCUCUGAUCCAACAUUUUCCUGUCACACGCCAGCUCUUUUGUCCUCUAACGCAGUCAUGGACUCUUCUAGUUCUAUAAAUCCAUCUUCAACCAAGUCAGGAGAUGCUGCUGCCCCAUUUACCUCCCCCUCCCACCUAUCUGUCUCUAGAAGUCAGGUGAAGAGGCAGCUGGAGAGACUGAACAGGAACAAGGCUGCAGGUCCAGAUGGUGUCAGCCACAGAGUACUGAAGGCCUGUGCAGAGCAGCUCUGUGGAAUUCUGCAGCACCUCUUCAACCUCAGCCUGGCCCAGGAGAAGGUUCCAGGAAGACUCCAAAAGACACAGGUGGGGACCUCAACUGUCGCCUGGAUUAAAGACUACCUGACAAACAGACCACAGUUUGUGAGGCUGAAGAACUGCACAUCAGACCAGGCGAUCAGUAACAUUGGAGCACCACAGGGGACUGUACUCUCACCAUUCCUUUUCACCCUGUACACCUCAGACUUCCAGUACAAAUCAGAGACCUGUCAUCUACAGAAAUACUCAGAUGACUCUGCAGUUGUCGGGUGUAUCAGAGAUGGACAGGAAGCUGAGUACAGAGAGCUGGUGGAGCGCUUUGUGGCAUGGUGUGGAAACAAUCAUCUGACCUUGAACGUGAACAAAACAAAGGAGAUGAUUUUAGACUUCAGAAGAAACAGGGUGGAGUCAAACACUGUUUCCAUCUUGGGAGAAGAAGUGGAGGUGGUUGAGGAAUACAAAUACCUUGGAGUUCACCUGGACAACAGACUGGACUGGAGAAAGAACAGCCAAGCCGUUUACAAGAAGGGACACAGCAGACUGCACUUCUUGAGGAUGCUUAGGUCCUUCAAUGUCUGUAGCAAGAUGCUGCAGAUCUUCUACAAGUCUGUUGUUGAGAGUGUAAUCUCUUCAGCCAUCGUCUGUUGGGGUAGCAGCAUCAGAAGCAGGGACCUGAAAAGGCUCAACAGCCUAAUAGCAAAGGCUGGUUCUGUUCUGGGGACGACUCGGGAACCGCUGGAGGAGAUAAUGCAAAGAAGGAUUCUCCAGAGAAUGAAGAAAAUUAUGGACAACCCUGAGCAUUCUCUUCACAAGACUGUCCGACAACAGAAGAGUGUCUUCAGUCAGAGGCUUCUUCAGUUUGGCUGCAACACUGACCGCUACUGGAGAUCCUUCCUGCCAACAGCCAUUGUAAUAUACAACAACUCUUUGAUGACUUGA
rnacentral:lncRNA from 1 species